rnacentral:sRNA from 1 species
GAUGAUAUUCUCAUGUGAUCUCUUACUUCCACAU